rnacentral:lncRNA from 1 species
AAGUGCACCUUCAUUGUCUGGACACAAAGCAAAGCUGAGCAGGAGAGCUGGAUCAAUCGACUCAGAGAAAAUGUAACAAAUGGGGCUUUGUACAAAGAACAAUCCAGGAGCAAAAGGAUAUUCCCCCUCCAAAUGGUUCAUUGGGUCAGAAAUGAAGCUCGGCCUCACAAAGCCCAAGUGGAUUGCAGAGACUGCUACCUGCUCUAAGCAAAGGCUUCAUCCUCGAGAAUCUGUCUACCUAAGGUCCUUUGAGCAAUGAACUCACUAGAGGAGUGCAGACAUGAAAGCCACUCUCUCAACAGAUGCAUUAGGAGACCAGCAAGGCUUCCAGCAAAACCAGACUCAACUUUCCCGUUCGUUCGAAAGCAACCGUCAAGCAUAAACUAACACAAACAUUUAAAAAUCUUUCAGGGUUUCUUUAUACAUUGCAAAGAAAUCACAGCGUGAUAGAAUUUGCUUUCUAAAAGCCAUCCUUUGAAGGUCACCUUAAAAAAUCCCAGGAGAAUGCAAAGCAUGGAGCAAAGACCAAAAUGCCUUAAAAGGAACCUUCCCAGCCAUCAAUUCAGCCCUUGCUAUUGCUGGCAGCCGCAUAAUAAAACCUAUUCAUAAAGCUCA